GAUGAACGCUAGCUACAGGCUUAACACAUGCAAGUCGCGGGACCGGCGCACGGGUGAGUAACGCGUAUCCAACCUGCCCUUCACCACGGGAUAACCCGGCGAAAGUCGGACUAAUACCGUAUGGUGCAGGAUGGGGAUGCGUCCGCUUAGCUUGACGGCGGGGUAACUGCACACCGUGGCUACGAACCGUAGGGGUUCUGAGAGGAAGUGCCCCCACACGGGAAAUGAGACACGGUCCAGACUCCUACGGGAGGAAGCAGUGAGGAAUAUUGGUCAAUGGGCGUAAGCCUGAACCAGCCAAGUAGCGUGCAGGACGACGGCCUAUGGGUUGUAAACUGCUUUUAUGCGGGGAUAGGUACCGCAUGAAUAAGGACCGGCUAAUUCCGUGCCAGCCGCCGCGGUAAUUC
rnacentral:rRNA from 1 species